rnacentral:snoRNA from 1 species
AGCCGAGUGAGAAAUGAUGAGAUAUGUUUUCUUACUGUUAUAGUGAAGAUGUCAGAUCCAACUCUGAUCUCACUCCGAA